rnacentral:rRNA from 1 species
GCCUUCUGGACUGACACUGACACUGAGGUGCGAAAGCGUGGGUAGCAAACAGGAUUAGAUACCCUGGUAGUCCACGCCGUAAACGAUGUCGACCAGCCGUUGGGUGCCUCGCGCACUUAGUGGCGAAGUUAACGCGAUAAGUCGACCGCCUGGGGAGUACGGCCGCAAGGUUAAAACUCAAAUGAAUUGACGGGGGCCCGCACAAGCGGUGGAGCAUGUGGUUUAAUUCGAUGCAACGCGAAGAACCUUACCUACUCUUGACAUCCUGCGAACUUGUGAGAGAUCACUUGGUGCCUUCGGGAGCGCAGAGACAGGUGCUGCAUGGCUGUCGUCAGCUCGUGUUGUGAAAUGUUGGGUUAAGUCCCGUAACGAGCGCAACCCUUGUCCUUAUUUGCCAGCGGGUAAUGCCGGGAACUCUAAGGAGACUGCCGGUGACAAACCGGAGGAAGGUGGGGACGACGUCAAGUCAUCAUGGCCCUUACGAGUAGGGCUACACACGUGCUACAAUGGCCGGUACAAAGGGUUGCGAGCUCGCGAGAGUCAGCUAAUCCCGAAAAGCCGGUCUCAGUCCGGAUCGGAGUCUGCAACUCGACUCCGUGAAGUCGGAAUCGCUAGUAAUCGUGAAUCAGAAUGUCACGGUGAAUACGUUCCCGGGCCUUGUACACACCGCCCGU